CAAAGAUCUGUUAUAGUCUUGAGGACCAAAACAGAAAACACCCUGGGAGAAGUAGCACUGUGAGAGGUAGAAGUUCAAGGUGCUAUUUUACUUUUUCUCACUGUGAAGAGACAAGCUAUUCUCACUGGAGCUCAGCCUUAAACUUUUGGGUUUUGCUGAUUUCCUUCUCUUCAGAAGAUGUACCCAGAAAAGUAGUUCCAGGAAAGCAAGAGGAGGGUGCUUUUCUGUGAAUACAGCAAGUCUGGUGCAGUUAAUGCAGCAUCAAGAAAGACCUACAUCAAUUCUUCAAGACCUUCUCAUGACCCAGAAAUCCCCAAACACUGUUUCUAAAAGGAAACAUGCAUGGUGUUUCUGAAAUAUAUCAUUUCCUGAGACUUUCUUAUUAGUUUCAC
ensembl:lncRNA